AUGUAAAUGAAACACAUUACCGCUGACAAUCAAUUGUCCGCAAGCGCCCGACGAAAAACAGCCCUCCUACUCCUCCUCCCUGUUUUUCCCUGUUUUUCUCCCCCCUUCAUCAACAUGCUCGGUGAUGGUGGCAAGAAUUUAAAAGGGGAAAAGCUGGGAAAACAGAGAAAAUGAGCACCUUGCCUACACCCAGUCUCUGCAAAGUUGAAAAUGGGAAUCGGAAUAACAGAGGCGUGCAAAUUGUCUGGAUUUCUAAAACGUAUAUAAGCCUCGGACUCCAGCAGAUUCCCGCUCCUCUUUCUGCUGCUUCAGGUUAUGUAAUCGCUGGAUGUGACAGGCAACACCUGGCGGGGGCCAAACUCUCAAACAACUUCACGCUGCUCGGAUCAAGUUUCGCACCAGGAAAAGGCGAAGAGGCUGCUCCUCUUCUUUUUGUGGAGCAAGACAGAGUUCGGACUUGAAAAAUGUCAUGCAUGGGGGUUUGGAUAAACCAUGAAGCGCAUCAUUUCUGCAAACUGGAACAAAUGCAGACAAAUAUUCUGGGAAUUUCUCCAUGUGGAGGAUUAACUUGGAUGUUUUAUUUGUCUCAAAUUGUCUGGGUGGAAUAUUCUAAACAAAAAAUAAGAGACAGUUGGUGUUUGGUAAAUUAGACGAUUAGAUUUGUGGAUUUCUAUCCGGCAGAUAAGAAAUUAAGCAAGAUGAGGGGCUCUUGCCGUCCCUCCACUGACCUAGGCAGAGAAAGGGAAAAGUGUGUGUGGGGUGGGGGGUUAAAAGAGAGUGGCCAAGCCUCAGUGAGCUUCUGCAUUCCCAAAAGGGGGGAAGGAGGAGGAAAAAGCUGGAUUUUUUUUUAUUUAAAGAGAAGGUUGGAUAAAAAUACUCCUGACACAACGAGCCGCAUCUCAUCAACUUCUUCAGGAAAGCGACGGAAUACAUGAACCCACUAUGAUUCCCAACAAACCUCCACUCAGGACAAACAUCUGACCCCAGCAGCUCGGAUAACGGUCCCCUUCAUCCCUGCGUAAAAAAGCUCCAGCAACCCGCAGCGGACUCUCACGCACCCACGGAGCCGCCGCAGACGCCUCCAACCCCGGCCACAACAUCCACAGAUCCAACUCUCCCACUCCCACAGACAAGACACGCUCUCCCCGAGGU